AUGGAAAACAAUUUUUACAUGACAUUGAGACCAGAGAUGCUUGACCUGGCCUUCAUCUAGACUGCUGCCAGCUGUCUGGGCAUGGGAAUUAGUAUCUGAAAACACAGUGCACAGAACCCAUCCCCCAACGAACUAUAGCUAUAUGAUCUGCUGGCCUUCAUAACCAUACACAUAUACGUAAUGAGACAAACGGCAGCCUGCUAACUACAAGUCACUUCCCAAUGUGAGGUCUUGAGAAAGGUUCUCUUCUAGAGGACUGAACGGUGGAGAAGACAAAUUUCAUGACCAUGAAGAAUCAAGCUUGAUGCCCAUGAAAAGUUGGUCCAAUCAAACUGCAGCCUGCAAGGCAGAGAAAGCUGUAUCUACAGUGUAGUGCUGGUCUGAGGUAAAGUGGAUUCGUACUUAAUUUCCCAGCAGCCUAAUGGGAACUCUCGCCCUUGCACGGAGCCCUAAAUUCUCCAGCUUAUGAGGUGCUAAUGGAGC
rnacentral:lncRNA from 1 species